UGGGGAAUAUUGCACAAUGGGGGAAACCCUGAUGCAGCGACGCCGCGUGAGCGAAGAAGGCUUUCGAGUCGUAAAGCUCUGUCCUAUGAGAAGAUAAUGACGGUAUCAUAGGAGGAAGCCCCGGCUAACUACGUGCCAGCAGCCGCGGUAAUACGUAGGGGGCGAGCGUUGUCCGGAAUUACUGGGCGUAAAGGGUUCGCAGGCGGCAUGGCAAGUCCGAUGUAAAAGGCGAAGGCUCAACCUUCGUAAGCAUCGGAAACUGUCAAGCUUGAGUGAAGGAGAGGCAAGUGGAAUUCCUAGUGUAGCGGUGGAAUGCGUAGAUAUUAGGAGGAAUACCGGUGGCGAAGGCGACUUGCUGGACUUCAACUGACGCUGAGGAACGAAAGCGUGGGUAGCAAACAGG
rnacentral:rRNA from 1 species